rnacentral:rRNA from 1 species
CCAAUAGCGUAUAUUAAAGUUGUUGCAGUUAAAAAGCUCGUAGUUGAAUUUCGGGAUUGACGUGAUGGUCGUGCCUUAAGGGGUAUGAACUGUCGCAGUCAAUUUCUCACCUUCUGGAGAAAUAUGAUGUCCUUAAUUGGGUGUCAUAUGGAACCAGAACUUUUACCUUGAAAAAAUUAGAGUGUUUAAAGCAAGCUUAUUGCUCGAAUACAUUAGCAUGGAAUAAUAAAAUAGGACGGCAUGAUUCUAUUUUGUUGGUUUCUAGGAUCACCGUAAUGAUUAAUAGGGAUAGUUGGGGGCAUUAGUAUUCAAUUGUCAGAGGUGAAAUUCUUGGAUUUAUUGAAGACUAACUACUGCGAAAGCAUUUGCCAAGGAUGUUUUCAUUAAUCAAGAACGAAAGUUAGGGGAUCGAAGACGAUCAGAUACCGUCGUAGUCUUAACCAUAAACUAUGCCGACUAGGAAUCAGACGAUGUUAAUUUUUUAAUGACUCGUUUGGCACCUUACG